UGAAAGAAAUAGAGGGUGAGAGAGAGAGAGAGAGAAUAAUAGACGGAGGAGAACAAGAGCCUGCCAUUGACGACCUGCUCGAGCUUCGUCAAGCUUGUCCGUGCUUCUCUUUUUCUAUCUCAUGAGCUUCUAAUUGAUUCCCUAGCUUCUCACCUUUACCGAUUUGAUGUUCCUCUUGCUUGUUCUUGCUGGCUUGGCUUCGUUCUGAUGUCGAGGAGCUCACUGAUGAGAGAGGCAUCGAAUGGGGAAAAGCUUAACUGCAUCGAAUUAGGUUAUGGGAUAGCUUAGGGAUCGAGCAGACUGAAUUCUUGCACUCUGAAGGUGCGACCUAAUGAGCUAUUUUUCUUGGAGUUAUCGGGUCUGCAUGCGCGCGCCUAUGUGCACGGCUUGGGAAUGUCCACCUUCCCAGGGGUGCGUGAUGGACACGCGUGAGAAGGAGUUGCCACUUACUAUUUUACGAUCCGAGGGUUGAGGGCCGGUAAGUUACCAAGGUCUAGGGGGUAAGGGAUACACCUAGUAUGCUAAGGCAAUGGUCAUGCAGAACUGAAAAUUCCGAGUUCGAGGGUUCGAUUACAUUCGGGCCUAUAUCCUGCACGCCCUUUUGGUAAUUUAUUUGCCUAGGGCUUGUCGUUUUUAUUUAUUUACCGCUUGAUUUA